AUGGCUGGAAUUGUCUACAAGGAGUUUGCUGGGUUGGCCCAGACAGGGUUGAACUACCUGUCAUGGUCCUCGGACUGUGAGAUCUUUCUCUAGCGAAAAACCCUCCUGAGGGCGAUCGGUAAGGGGGCCCAGCUGGCCCCCACUGAUCCCAAGUUCGAAACUGAGAAUGCACAGGCUCUGCACUUUCUCCGUCAUCACCUAUCACCUACUCUGAAAGAUGAGUAUAUGGCUGAGCGCAGUGCUUCUAGCCUUUGGACCGCACUUGAGCAGCGGUUUGAGCGGCUGAAGUACACUGUGAAGCCACGUGCAGAGGCAGAGUGGAUCCGUCUGAGGUUUGUGGACUUCAAGACGAAGAUUGAGAAAAUCGUAUCCACUUUCCACCCUGAUGCGGUCCAGUCCUCACGGAACUACCGCCAGGGGAACUACACGAGGUAUUCAGAGUUGAUUGACGUCCUCCAGGUGGCGGAGGCGCAGGACGCGGUUCUGAAAAAGAACUUUGUCGCGCAACCACUUGGGGGGAGUUCUCGCCAGGAGAAGCCUUAACAGAAGAAGAGGGGCCGCAAGGGCAAGAAGAAGAGCCGCCACCCCGCCCCGGCUAAGCAGAACAAGCCGGGCAAGGGAGGGCAGAGGCCUCAGGACUGCUUCCGUUGUGGCUCGGUGGAGCAUUUCUCCCGCCAGUGCCGUGCACCACCGGAGGUCGUUGAAGCAUACAAGGCUCGGAAGGCGCGUGAGACGAACAUCGCCUUGGUUUAGGAGUUGACCACAUGGUCGCCUCGGUGGUGCCGCCACUAA
rnacentral:rRNA from 1 species